AAAUGCUGGCUGUGCAAGUAGAAGUGUAUCUCCUAAAAAGAAGCACAGAUGAAGCUCACUCUUGGUAGUAGCAAAGAGGAGAGUUGGUUCUAUCUGUUUAUGGCAAAAUUAAAAGAACAGCUCUUGUGAAUCAAGGAUUUUAGGUCGCCUAAUGGACCUUGUGCAUCGAACGUUCUAAUUAACGCGCACCUCUCAACUGGAGUAAGAUGGCGGAUCUUUUGGUAAACAGGCAGGCUGAACAUUUUCCUCUUUUAUCAAGUCAUCCUUACUUUAGGAGCCACUUUGAGCUCUCUUUUUGUUUCAUCACACUCUUUUUAUUUCUCCUGCCUAUUCUGGCACCCUUUGGCAAUUCCCGUUUUGGUAAAUUUUGCUUCCAGGAGCCAGGGCGCUUGCCCCUCCAUUGCUAUGAAGACAGAAGUGUAUUCACUUGAGUCCUAUGAUUAAUGUCUAUCAUCAGUUAGUCUCAGUCCAUCAGGACAAGGAUGGCUCUUUUAUGAAUAGUUGAGGGGUGCAAGAACUCUCUGGCUCUCAUUCUUUAUCUGUAAAUUCACUGGUUGUACUGUAGGAGCAUUUCAUGUCAUAUUAAAGUCUGCGUCGCUAUCCAAUACUUGCAGAGAGGAAUCAUCACAUUUAGGACUUGUUUGUGGCUCGUCACCAUUUGUAUCCUCUCUUGACAGUUUUAUUUGAUAUUCAUAAUUAUGAAAAACAUAACUGACAUUGUUGCUACAGUUAUUUAUGUUUUUAUCACUACAUUACAUUUGUAUGCAUGACGUUUCAUGUAUUUACAGAUAUUUUAUUAUAAAGAGUA